GACGAACGCUGGCGGCGUGCUUAAUACAUGCAAGUCGAACGGAAAGGCCCUGCUCUUGCGGGGUGCUCGAGUGGCGCACGGGUGAGAAACACGUGUGUAUCCUCCCCCUGUCUUUGGGAUAAAUUCUGGAAACUGGGGAUAAUACAGGAUAGGAGAUCUUGCUGCGUGGUGGGGGUUGGAAAGUUUCGGCGGUUGGGGAUGGACUCGCGGCUUAUCAGCUUGUUGGUGGGGUAGUUGCUUACAAAGGUUACGACGGAUAGCCGGCCUGGGAGGUGGACCGGCCUCAAUGCGACUGAGGUACGGCCCAGACUGCUACGUGAGGCAGCAGGCGGGAGUAUUGCACAAUGAGCGGAAGCCAGAGACAGCAGCGCCGCGUGCGGGAAAACGGCCUACUAGGGAUAAACCGCUGUCGCCGGUGACGAAGCGUUAGUGACGGUAAUGGGUAAGAAAGCAACGGCUAACUACGUG
rnacentral:rRNA from 1 species